rnacentral:rRNA from 1 species
UCGCCUGUUUAUCAAAAACAUCGCCUCUUGCAAAACUGAGGAAUAAGAGGUCCCGCCUGCCCUGUGACUAUAUGUUUAACGGCCGCGGUAUUUUGACCGUGCGAAGGUAGCGCAAUCACUUGUCUUUUAAAUGGAGACCUGUAUGAAUGGCAUAACGAGGGCUUAGCUGUCUCCUUUUUCAAGUCAAUGAAAUUGAUCUCCCCGUGCAGAAGCGGGGAUAACACCAUAAGACGAGAAGACCCUAUGGAGCUUUAGACACCAAGGCAGAUCAUGUUAAACACCCCUUCACAAAGGACUAAACCAGAUGAACCCUGCCCUAAUGUCUUUGGUUGGGGCGACCGCGGGGAAACAAAAAACCCCCACGUGGAAUGGGAAUACUCCUUCCUACAACUAAGAGCUCCCGCUCUAAUGACCAGAACUUCUGACCAAUCAGAUCCGGCAACGCCGAUCAACGAACCGAGUUACCCUAGGGAUAACAGCGCAAUCCCCUUUUAGAGCCCAUAUCGACAAGGGGGUUUACGACCUCGAUGUUGGAUCAGGACAUCCUAAUGGUGCAGCCGCUAUAAG